rnacentral:ncRNA from 19 species
AGAAGCUGAGGACGGAACAGGCAGCCGUCGCGCCCUAGAGGUCUUAAAAUGAGAUACUGGAUUGUCACCCAGUCUCUUCU